rnacentral:rRNA from 1 species
ACUCCUACGGGAGGCAGCAGUGGGGAAUUUUGGACAAUGGGGGCAACCCUGAUCCAGCAAUGCCGCGUGAGUGAAGAAGGCCUUCGGGUUGUAAAGCUCUUUUGUCAGGGAAGAAACGGUGGUGGCGAAUAACUACUACUAAUGACGGUACCUGAAGAAUAAGCACCGGCUAACUACGUGCCAGCAGCCGCGGUAAUACGUAGGGUGCAAGCGUUAAUCGGAAUUACUGGGCGUAAAGCGUGCGCAGGCGGUUGUGUAAGUCAGAUGUGAAAUCCCCGGGCUCAACCUGGGAAUUGCAUUUGAGACUGCACGGCUAGAGUGUGUCAGAGGGGGGUAGAAUUCCACGUGUAGCAGUGAAAUGCGUAGAUAUGUGGAGGAAUACCGAUGGCGAAGGCAGCCCCCUGGGAUAACACUGACGCUCAUGCACGAAAGCGUGGGGAGCAAACAGGAUUAGAAACCCGUGUAGUCCCAUGAU